CAUUUAUUGUGCAAGGUGCUUGUAAAAGGAAGUGAGGUUUUCCAGUACAUUACUUCCUCAUGUAUCAUGUGUGUACGGAUGCAUUUGUGUAGACCCAGAUAGUAGUGAAGGCCACUCCAGACUGAAGGAAGAUGUCCGAAAAUUCAUCAGAAUUCACCGAUGCCACGAGGAAUUCUGGCUCGUCUCGCCCAUCCUCUGAUAUCAGCGGCACCAAUGUUCCUCUGGUUUUGAUCAGUGCUUACGAGGAACAACUGAAGAGAAAUAAAUUAGGAAAGCCUUUACCCAAGCUCCCUUCUGCCAGAUUUUGCUACACAAACUGGCAUGAGUUGCCACACACUGAUCUCCAUGGCAACCAGCUGCAUGCUCCGAGGGUCA